rnacentral:rRNA from 1 species
UACGGGGGGAGCAAGCGUUGUUCGGAUUUACUGGGCGUAAAGGGCGCGUAGGCGGCGCAACAAGUCACUUGUGAAAUCUCCGGGCUUAACCCGGAGCGGCCAAGUGAUACUGUCGUGCUAGAGUGCGGAAGGGGCUACUGGAAUUCUCGGUGUAGCGGUGAAAUGCGUAGAUAUCGAGAGGAACACCUGCGGCGAAGGCGGGUAGCUGGGCCGCAACUGACGCUGAGGCGCGAAAGCGUGGGGAGCAAACAGG